GUGAAUUGCAGAAUUCCGCGAAUCAUCGAGUUUUUGAACGCAACUUGCGCCCGAGGCUCGUCCGAGGGCAUUUCCGCUAGAGCGUCACC
rnacentral:rRNA from 1 species